GUGAAUCAUCGAAUCUUUGAACGCACCUUGCGCUCCUUGGUAUUCCGAGGAGCAUGCCUGUUUGAGUGUCAUGAAAACCCUCAACCCUAGAUUGGUUAAAACCUUUCUUUGGUUUGGAUUUGGACGUUUGCCGAUGAUAAGUCGGCUCGUCUUAAAAGUAAUAGCUGGAUCUGUCUCGCGACAUGGUUUGACUUGGCGUAAUAAGUAUUUCGCUAAGGACAUCUUCGGAUGGCCGCGUUGCAGGACUAAAGACCGCUUUCUAAUCCAUUGAUCUUACGAUUAAUAUUCUUGACAUCUGGCCUCAAAUCAGGUAGGACUACCCGCUGAACUUAA
rnacentral:rRNA from 1 species